GCGCCCGUGGCUCAGCUGGAUAGAGCAUCGGACUACGAAUCCGGCGGUCGCAGGUUCGAAUCCUGCCGGGCGCACCA
rnacentral:tRNA from 7 species